rnacentral:lncRNA from 1 species
UUUAUCCUGGCUUCUCAGUUCUCUAGAUGGUGUUAUCCAGAAUGAGUUGGCUACAAGGAACCUACAUUAUAUCAAUGGUGUUCGUCUGAUCAAUUGCAGGCAUCAGGUCCCUGCAUUUGUAUUGCAAGUACCUGAAACCUGUAGGUUUUCUUGUGAGAGUGAUGGUAAUCAGUUGCAAAUUGUUUAGCUGAUGUUUGUGAUUGAUUAUGCCAAUUAAGGACUCUUGUUGUGCAUUUUAUGUACUGUUGGCGAGCUUGCAAGCAUCUGAAGUUAGGCACCAGGUCUGAAGUUUGGCUACUUUAAAGUUAAUUUGUUGCUCUUGUAUCGGAUAUUUCUUUUACACUAUGACGCAGCAAGGCCUGACCAUGCGCUAUACUGUUGAGACUUGAGAGAGGCCUUAUUAUUUCUUGUUAUCAUGGCUUAAUGUUUGCAACAUUGCGUUCAUUUGUUCCGUCACUUGUUUAUCAAUCGUGUGGUACUAUCAUAUGCACAUGCCAAUUCUUUUGAUUCUGUGAAUUAAGUAUCACUGAAUACCAUUUGCAACUCCUUAUUGAGUUUGUGCACCUUAACUCGAAUGUGCAUGAGAGAUGAGACCGAAUCAUGUGUUAAUUAUAUAGACAAUUUAUUAAUUCUGAUGCUCAUUCUAGGAGGUUGAUUCGUCAUGGUCCUUUGCAUUAGUUUGGUUCCUUUAAAGGAAGAAAUGUUUUGGUUUCUUUCCAACAGUUUGUUAUGGUGAGAAGGAUUCCAGAACCGAACAAGCUGCUGAAAGAUAUCUUUUGUUUGACCAAUUGAUUCUUUACCUGAAAGUUGCAGCCAGGUAACCACUGUUUCACUAUAUUCUUUUUGUCAUCUUUUUUGUAGUUGUUCUUUCAGACAAAUAGGAUUAACAAAUGCUUGGCCAUGCUCAAAACCGUUGAUUCAAAUGUUCUGGGCAGUAAUGCUGCUCCUGUUGUUUCAUUCACAAGAUCUUAUAGUCCUGACUCAGAUGAAAAUGAAUUGAAUUUUUGUUUCUUAACUUUUGUUGUGUUACAACAUCUGUUUCAGGAAAACAGGGUUUAGAAUCAUUGUAAGAACAACCUAGAUCUGGUACGUGCAUAUGCUCCCUUUUUAUAAUAAACACAGAAGAAUUAGCAGUAGCAGUUACUUACUUACUGGUUAUGGUUUGGUUUGAAUUGAUUUUUACAUGUGCUUCUUACAACACCAGCUGGGAGGAUAACUGAAAUCAGAAAAGCUUCAGAAGGUUUUGUUUACCUUAUACAUAAUUCAUUAUUAACAGAAUUUUGUCAUGAAUGGAAGUUACUUCUGACGCAUAGAAUUUACACUGGGUUAUUGAGAUAUUUAUUGUAGAGUCAAUCUACAGUGCCAGGUUUAUGAAUUGAGAUAAUAACUCCUAUGCAAAACAUCUUGUGUCUUCUUGAUACUUCUCUUUCUGAAAACACUACACAUAUUUCUGUUAAUUUAUCAUUUCAUUUGCUUCUGUCAUGCACCUUGGCAUUUUCAUGUUCUUUAUACAAAAUUUCCCAUGCAGAUUCUGAAGGCUAGAGAAGUCAAGCUUUAGCAUUCUUGAAAUUAUGCUGAUUGUUUCUAGGGAACUCUACUGACAGGUAAUGCAUGCAUGGACAUUUUUAUUACUAAUGUCUGGACAUGGUACUCUGCCCAUUAAUGAUGUCUUAUAUUUGCCUUUCAUUCUUAGUUCUGACUGAACUCUUGUUGACUCUUAAUUGUUUGCCAGAUUUGCUAGACAAAUAAGAAUAUUAUACACCCUCUAUCUAAAAUUUUGUCCAUUGCAUGCAUGAACAUUUUUAUUACUAAUGUCUGGACAUGGUACUCUGCCCAUUAAUGAUGUCUUAUAUUUACCUUUCAUUCUUAGUCCUGACUGAACUCUUGUUGACUCUUAAGCGUUUGCCAGAUUUGCUGGACAAAUAAGAAUAUUGUACACCCUCUAUCUAAAAUUUUGUCCAUUGCAUGCAUGAACAUUUUUAUUACUAAUGUCUGGACAUGGUACUCUGCCCAUUAAUGAUGUCUUAUAUUUGCCUUUCAUUUUUUUAGUCCUGACUGAACGCUUGUUGACUCUUAAGCAUUUGCCAGAUUUGCUGGACAAAUAAGAAUAUUUGUACACACUCUAUCUAAAAUUUUGUCCACUGAGAGGAAUAUUAUUAAUAUAAUACUAUUUAUCUGUCUAUUGGCAUCUCAUGCCAGAAAACUGAACAACGGCGAAAUAAGAUAUAUAAAUUUCAGACAGUAGAUGUAUUUGAUUGGCCACUUGAUUUUUAUUUCAGACCUGAGUUAGUGCUUCAAAAUAUGAAAUUGUAGAGGUUAUGUGAACUUUUUUCUUUAACUAUCCAAAUGGCAACUGAAAUUUUUAUUUCUUCAAUGAACUAUCAUGUGAUGGUAGGUCCCAUGCAGCAGCAUCUUUGUUGUGCUACUGGUUUCACGGUGAUAUAAAUGACAUUGAGUUUUUUAUUCACAGACACUAACUCUAAGUAUGUCCAGAUUUUCCUUCAAACUGGUUAUCUGUAUUUAUUGAUUUGAAUGAUAUGUGGUCUCCCUUGUUGGGUCUUAUCUUGUUGUUCCUCUUCGACAUUAUGUCAUUAUUAUCUACGAGGGCAAUCAACUAUAAUUUGUAUAUAUCAUCAAUUUUUGUAUGUCUUAAUGUCAAAAAAAAAUCAAGCGAGAUGUUUUCCUCGGAAAAAUAUAUCAAGUUGGACGUCGGCAAUCAAUUAGAAUUUGUAUGUGUCAUCAAUUUUUGGAUGCCUCUUUAAUGAAUCAAGCUUUACGUUGGUAACUAAAGUAGAAAUUUGUAUAUAUCAUCACUUUUUUAUGUCGUUUUUAAUUAAUCAAUUCAUCAUUGGGUUAGUCAUUAAAUUUUUUUCCUUUUGCUAUGCACACUGAUAUAUGUAUGUUCCAG